AGAUUGAACGCUGGCGGCGUGCCUAACACAUGCAAGUCGAGCGGUAGCAGGUGUAGCAAUACAUGCUGACGAGCGGCGAACGGGUGAGUAAUGCUUCGGAAUCUACCCACGGGUGGGGAAUAACCAACCGAAAGGUUGGCUAAUACCGCAUAAGUCCUACGGGGGAAAGCGGGGGAUCGAAAGGCCUCGCGCAGCAGGAUGAGCCGAUGUCCGAUUAGCUGGUUGGUGGGGUAACGGCCCACCAAGGCGACGAUCGGUAGCUGGUCUGAGAGGGUGAACGGCCACACUGGGACUGAGACACGGCCCAGACUCCUACGGGAGGCAGC
rnacentral:rRNA from 1 species